CUCCUCCGCCACCGCGGCCGCCGCCUCCCCCCUCUCCGAGCCCCUGGCCCAUGGAGGCAGCUAGCGGGGCCGGCGACUUGGCACCGGCCUGGGGAUCGGCUGCGCGCCGCGCGCUGAGCACCGCAGCCCGAGGGCAGGCAGCGGCGGCCCGGCGCACGGGUUGAGCGAUGCCCGGGGCACGGGCGCGCCUGCCCGCCGCCGCCUGAGCGCCCCCGCGUGCCCCUUCCUCCUCUGGGGGGCCGGCGCCGGACCGAGCCGAGAGCCAGAGAAGGGGGCGUGAGCCAGGGGCCCCAAGCCGCGGCUUCCGAGCCACUACGGCCGUUUUGAGCCCCCACCCCCAAGUAGGCUGAGUUGAGGUCCCCCCUCGCCAUCCAUCAUAAUCUCCAAACUGGGCGUUUGGGCAUUUUUGAGCCAUUAAUAUUUAUUUUUUUUGUGUGUGCGGCAGGGGAUAUUUGAAGCCUUUUUUUUUUUUUCCGGGGGGUACUGAGCUCCCGCUCUCCCGACCGCCUCCCGGUCUCCUCCCCUCCUGAGACCCUCUCGACUCCAGCCCCGUUCCCCCUCCUCAGAUGGGUUCAUUGUGAGCUCCGCAACGGGCUGCGUGGCCGGACGCCUGCAAACUUUGCACAAAAAUCCGGCAAGGGGCGGAGGAGGAGGAGAAGGAGGAGGAGGGUGAGGGUGGCGGUGGGGUGGGG
rnacentral:lncRNA from 1 species